rnacentral:rRNA from 1 species
AUUGAACGCUGGCGGCAGGCUUAACACAUGCAAGUCGAGCGGAGAUGAGGUGCUUGCACCUUAUCUUAGCGGCGGACGGGUGAGUAAUGCUUAGGAAUCUGCCUAUUAGUGGGGGACAACAUUCCGAAAGGAAUGCUAAUACCGCAUACGUCCUACGGGAGAAAGCAGGGGAUCUUCGGACCUUGCGCUAAUAGAUGAGCCUAAGUCGGAUUAGCUAGUUGGUGGGGUAAAGGCCUACCAAGGCGACGAUCGGUAGCGGCUCUGAGAGGCUGCGCCGCCACACGGGGACUGAGACACGGCCCAGACUCCUACGGGAGGCAGCAGUGGGGAAUAUUGGACAAUGGGGGGAACCCUGAUCCAGCCAUGCCGCGUGUGUGAAGAAGGCCUUAUGGUUGUAAAGCACUUUAAGCGAGGAGGAGGCUACUGAGACUAAUACUCUUGGAUAGUGGACGUUACUCGCAGAAUAAGCACCGGCUAACUCUGUGCCAGCCGCCGCCGUAACAC